AUUGAACGCUGGCGGCAGGCCUAACACAUGCAAGUCGAACGAGUGGCGGACGGGUGGGGAAGGUCUGUGCAAAUCCCUGAUGGAGGGGGAUAAUUACUGGACACGGUUGCUAAUACCGCAUACCAGAGGCUGUGCCCAGAUGGGAUGAGCUAGUAGGUGGGGUAAAGGCUCACCUAGGCGACGAUCCCUAGCUGGUCUGAGAGGAUGACCGGCCCCACUGGAACUGAUGUACGUUCCAGACUGCGACGGUAGGCAGGAGUGGGGAACAUUGCACAAUGGGCGCAAGCCUGAUGGAGCCAUUCCGCGUGUAUGAUGAAGGAUUUCGGGUUGUAAAGUGCUUUCAGCAUGGAGGCGUUACCGCCAGACAAAGCACCGGCUAAAUCCGUGCCAGCAGCCGCGGUAAUAC
rnacentral:rRNA from 1 species